CGACACCAGAGAAACACAAAAUCAAAACAAUACCUUCUCUCUUCGUCUUCUUCGGCGAAUCUCUCCGCAUCUUCAGCGAUUUUCCGGGCGACGUUUACCUCCGUUCCUCCGACACCGCCGUUUUACUCCGUCGUGCCAGCUUAAGCAAUUUCAGUUUAUUUAUAAAUUUGGAGAGAGCAACUGAAGCUGAGAUUUUGGAUAAAUUCGGAAACAGAGAGGUGUUUUGUAUCACUGUCCUCCAGAAACAGAGCUCAGGUGAAGUCAACACCCUUUGAUGUCACGGCAAUGCUAUGACCAGGACCUGCAAGUGCUUGUGAUUUCUCCCGCCUGCAACCAAACUCACCAGCUAGCAAGAAGUUUAAAACUAGCUUCCACGAGCCUCCACAUCUCCUUUUGAUAUCUUGGCGUUCUUCAUCUCCCAUACAUUUAAAGAUCACCCUCUUUUGGCAAAUGUCGAGAGCUGCAUCUCCUGUGAUUAUUGUUGUGUGUCUUCUUUACAUUUUCCUAACUAUUAAGUAUGGAUGGUAGACUUUAAACACAUUUUUUUAAAAAAAAAUAGACACCCAAAGAUGACUAAUGGGAGGACAAAAAUUAAAAACAA